rnacentral:rRNA from 1 species
UACGAAGGGGGCUAGCGUUGCUCGGAAUCACUGGGCUUAAAGCGUGUGUAGGCGGACGUCUAAGUACCUUGUGAAAUCCCACGGCUCAACCGUGGAACGGCUUGGUAUACUGGGCGUCUUGAGCCACUUAGGGGUCGUCGGAACAAGCGGUGGAGCGGUGAAAUGCGUAGAUAUCGCUUGGAACGCCAAUGGUGAAAACAGACGACUGGGAGUGUGCUGACGCUGAGACACGAAAGCCAGGGGAGCGAACGGG